ensembl:snRNA U6 U6 spliceosomal RNA
GUGUUUGCUUUGGUAGCAUAUGUACUAAAAUAGGAACAGAAAAGAUUAAUGUAACCCCUGUGCAAAGAUGACAUAUGAAUCUGUGAAGCAUUCCAUACUAAA